ensembl:lncRNA
AUCUUUAGUCUGCUCUGUGUCUUCACCACUGCCGUUUCCUUGGUCAGGUACAACUCAACCUCAGGACAGGUCAGAAUCCAAACUCUUUCUGGCUCCCUGACAGCAGCCUCACAAAAACAGGACACACGGCUAGCAGCCUGUGAGGAUCAAGUGAAGCGCAUGGGGACACUCCUGUGAGGACCAGUGCUCUGGGGCAGAGUCCCUGUCUGCUCCCCGGGCACAUCCCUUGUGAUGCUCUUCCAAGGGUCCACUGGAAGACCGGAAGACCAAGGUUUGAUUUGUGCUGCCAUCCUGGUAGAAUUGAGGUAGGAUGGAAGAAAUAAAAGCAACCAAAAAACCCUCAAGCACUUAAGAAUGAGGCCAAUGAAAAAUGUGCAAGAUGCUACAUGGAAAAUUACAAUUACUAAGAAAAAUUAAAGAGGACUUAAAUUAACAGGUAUGUGCUAUGUUUGUGG